CCCUGCCGCCGACCAGCGCGGCUCUGCAGAGCCUGGGCACAAGCUGCCCGCCGCUGCGGGACGGAGCCGUGCCAAAGAGAUGGGGAACGGCCCGGAGCAGCCACAGCCCAGGGAGGACGCAACCAAUGUUAUCUGCGGCCUGAUCCUGGAGCUCUCCAACCUCAACCGCCUGGCGAUGAGCGCCCACCGCGGCCUGGAGGCGCUGAGGAGGCCGAAGCCACGGCGGAGCCGGUGGCCGGGGCCAGGGCCGGUCCCGCUGCACGCCGGGAGGAGGUGGAAGGAGAUGUAGAGCUGGUGGGAGCCGGAUCCGGCCCCCGGCACGGCUAAUUAACGUAACAGUAACUCUUUAUUAACGUAAACCAAUG